GUAAUUAUACAUCGGCAUUCAUUAUUUUGUACGUUAUUUAAUACGACCUGCAAAUGUGAUACGGUUUAAUUAUUUUAAUACAUAGAGCAAAAAUCAGUCAAGUCAACAUUUUGUCAAUUUUUUAAAAGAUAGACAUUUGAAGUGAUGGGUUGAGAUUUUUUAUUUUUGGGUAAAAAAUUUUUUAUACAUUAGUUAAAAAAAAUAUUUUUAUUUUUGAAUAAAAAGAGGGGUUAGUUUUUAAUUUUUUAGGUAAAAAGGAGAAUUAUUUUGUAUUAUAAAGAGGAGAAGGAGUAUAUUUUAUACAUUCACAUACUCAAACAUUAAACAUAUUAUCAGAUUUGCUCUCUCUCUCAAAAUCAAUAUUUUUCUCCUCUUUACUUUCUCUUUACUGCCGCUCCACCACCACCGGAGCUCCGGUGAGUUUCACCAUCACCACCACCACAACGCCUCUCCUCUCUUCUUUCUCUCCCCUUUCCCUCUUCUUUUCCCCCCACUCCAGCCGCGUCGCGCCGCACGACCACGCGCCACCACUACCGCUAAAACAGCCACAAAACCACAACCAAACAACCAUCAAAAUUUGACCUUCGAUUUUCAGGCCGAACUACCAGCGCCACUCUCUUUUCUCCACAUUUUUAGCGAAACCUUACCCACCAUCGUUGCCGGCCACCGGGUUUGACCACCAGAUGGCCGGAGACCACCAAUAAUCACAGUACUUCGACCUUUUUAACUCUAUUGAACUAAGUUUGCAUCAAAUUUGUCUGUUGCUUAUUUGAUUUUGUAGAUCUGGUCAUUUUGGAUCCGGCCAUAAUGGUUCACUAUCCGGUGAAAAUUCUAUUUUGACCCACAAACUCCAUGGAAGCCGGACAAUCUGCUAUAUUUAGAUGCUAAUUUUUUAUGCCUUUUGUUUUUCUACUUUAUUACUGUUGUUUGAUGCUAGCUGCUACAUUCACGUUGCAUUUCUUUUGUUAUUACUUUGUGAAGUGAUUUAGCACUAUUUUAUGAUUUUUCUUGGGCGAGCUGCUACUAUUUUACGGGAUUGAUUAGGAAGAUUUUGUCUUUUAUAUUUAAUUGAACAGAUGAGAAACAUGAUUCUACACUAGUAUGAUCGAUGAAGAAAUUUUCAUCGAUUUUUAGGCCUGGACAAAUAAAAGACGGAUAUUAUGUAUACAAAUACGUAAUAAUAUAAAUAAAUUUAGGCAAUAACGAAAUUUUUAUAACAAUGCAAAAGGUUUUACGAUUCGUACCUUGGCAAGACGAUUUAGGAUGCCAAUAAAUUGAGCAACCACUUCGUAGCCAUGACAUAUUUAAAGUCUAAUUCGAGCCCUCUUUUAAGGAAAGGUUAUAUUUUUUUACACAUAUAUGCAUACAUAAUUUUUUAAUUUAUUUUGAUAAUUAUUUAUUUGUUACUAACAUUUUAUUUAGUAGUGUUUAUACAGGUUAUUGGAAAUACUCACCCGAAAAUACUCACCGGGAAUAGCAUUCAAAGAAGACUUUAAUUUUUAUGUUUGUAUUUUUAUACUUGUACACUUGUACGAAUAUUAAAUUAUAGUGAAAUCUUUAUUUUUGAUGGGUUGGGAGGGAUAUUAUUUAUUUACGCAAUUUUUAUCACGCGUUAGGCAAAUUUAGGUCGUUACUAUUCAUAUAAAAGAAUUAAAUUGAUUUAGAUAUUUAGUAGGAUAAUUCAUAUUUUACACUAAAAACAUUAUGUAAUCUUUCCUUUGAACAAAUUGUUCUUUAUUUAAUCUUUUCAUUUUUUCAUACAUAUUCUCAUGUAUUUUUUUCUAUUUUCAUACACUUUUUAUACACUUAUUUUUACGAUAACAUAUGUAAUUUACACAUUCUUUACAUAUAAAUUGUGUAUAUUGUUUUAAUAUGCACUUUUGUAUUUGUACUUACAAACAUCAAUUUUUUCUCUUUCUUUUAAUAAACCUAAGUUUGGCCGGGAACCAUAUUUGUGGAUUCUAAAAGGUGUCUAAUACCUUCCUUCGGAAUAAUUUGAACCCUUACCUAGAAUUCAAACUGGUUUCGUAGAUUAAAUAAAUUCAUACUUGUUAAAUAAAUAAAUAGGUUUUCUAUUUUUCCUUAAAAAUUAGGUGGCGACUCCGUACAAAUCAAUUCUUUUAGAGUCCAUAAUGUCGUGCUCGUUUUGACCUUAGGUAAAAAUCCGGUAUGACAAACGUUCAACUCGUGAACUUCAAUUAACCCACGAAUUUCAUGGAAAAGAAAAUCUUUUUUACUAAAAAAACUCUUCUUUGCUCAAAACUUUUUUUUCAACUUGAAACUUGGUCUUUCUAUCAAAAUAGUGGUAGUAUUUAUAGGAAAGGAUGAAGAUUCAAUUCUUUUCAUCCACCAAUGUGGAAGAGAGAAUUUAGGGGUAUUUUUGAAGUUUUAAAAUUGAAGAUAAGGUGAGGUGGAAGAUAAGGUGGGGAAAUUGUACAAUGUAGUAUAAUAUUUGAAUUUAAAAAUUUGAAUUUGAAAAAAGAACAGGGUUGAGGGGGAAUUUUACAAUGUAGUAUAAUUUUUGAAUUAAAAAAAAAGGACAAAGUUGAGGGAAAAAUCAUACAAUGUAGUACAAUUUUUGAAUUUCAAAAUUUGAAUGUGAAAAAAGGACAGAAUUGAGGGAGAACUGUACAAUGUAGUACAAAUUUUGAAUUUGAAAAAUGAAAAAAGGACAAAGUUGAGGGGGAUUGUACAAUCUAGUAUAAAUUUGAAAUUAUUUUUGGUGGAAAUUGGGUAGAAGUUAUGAGAGUUUUUGAGAAUUUCGGGGUUAUUUAAAAUAUAACCCCAAUUGAGAUUUAAAAUUAAGCUAAAUUUAUUUAAUUUUGACCAAAUUAAAAAUCAAUUGGCGGAUUGCAUUGCCAUUAUGACCAAUUUGAUUUCAAUUAUGGCCAAAUCUAAUAGAUUGACUAAAUUAAAUUGAAAUUCGAUAUGAAUUAAUAAUUCUUUUAAUCCCGAGCUUCUUGAUUUAAUAAAAUCAAACGCAUAUUUAUUCAAAUAAAUUAUUUUUUAGAGUAAAUUAUAUUUAAAUCAAGACUUUAUCCAUUCAAAUUAAUUUUUAAACUUAUCUCCGUAAAAGCUCAAAUUUUGAUAAAAAUAUUUAUUCAAGUAACAAAAUUAUACAAUCUCGUAUAUGUGAAUAUGAAAAUGUAUAAUCAUCACUUAAAUGACAAAACUGACCUAAAUAAAUAUUUUAGAGCGCAUUUAUCCGGAUGAAAUAAAUAUUUCACUUUUAUUUAAAAUUGAAGAAAAUUCGGAUUAAAUUUAGUCGUGGAGGGCAAAAAUUAGGUGUCAACAACUGCCCCCUCCCUUUAGGUAGGGUGGAUGUAAGUAACCCU
rnacentral:lncRNA from 1 species